UCAUGCUCAGAGCUGCCCUUGAGUUUUCAGUCUCAAACGUGCUGCUUGAUUCAUGCUCAGAGCUGCUUUCCACUGCCUAAUUCUCAGGCUUUGGCACAGUCUGACUAGCAGCAUAUGGAGGAAGGUCCAGGUGUGUUUCUCAGGUGUCCCCCGAGGCUCCCCAUGCAAAGGCAGAAAUAUUCCCUGCUUACUUGGAGAGGCAGAAAUUUUUCCUGCCCCUGCAUCUUCCAGGGAGGCUCCAGCUCAGAUGACUGGGGAGGACCAGAACCUGCUUUCAGGGACACUUAAAUGCUUUCAGCAGGUGUUAAGAGGUCCCACCAACGCAAUUACCCUCUGUGAUUAACAUGCCACACUGCAGGGAGAACCGAUAUGCCAUUCCCAGUGGCAGCAGCCACGGGGGCUGCCACCUCUGCCAGGCACAGAAGACAAUAUAAUCAUCCCUAGGAGUCUGCCUAGAUUCCAAGGCAGGAUCAGCAGAAAGUAAUAUGAAGCAUUAAUAAUCCCAGCUCAGCAGCGGAUCCUGUAUUCGAGCCAGAAGCGGGAGUAAGACGAGUGGUUAAAAAGUCCCAUAAGACAUUAGUACUGUGUGCAAAAUUGGAGCAUAAUGCUGGAAUAAUCAUUGGUGUGAGCUCUCACUUGUUUCCUUCAUUCUUGCACAGUCAUUAUUCCUUUUGGGACGCUGUCACUGUGUCUGCCAAGUGGUGGUCAGAAACCAGAGGAUAGCGACCAAUUAGUGGAGCUCUCAUUUGGUGGGAGGUCAUGCUGUGUGUUUGUUCUGCGCACGGCAGCAUCUGACACUCAGAAAGGGAUUCUGGUGGUGUCCUGGCAGCCGCUCUGCCUGAAGAGCCAAAAGGGAGCCUCCCUCCGGGUAAGUCAGCAGGUGUUAAGUGUAUGCUAAGCUGGUCUCAGCUGGAAGUCACUCUUUCAGUGUUAAGGGAUUGUUUUGCAUAUCCGAAAGAGUUUGCUGAGCUGUUUAACUAGAAGUAUUGAAGGAAUAAUGCCGCUUUUAUCCAUUUCAGUCUAUCAUUAAUAAUAAAAGUAGCUUUUCUUUCUCA